rnacentral:tRNA from 1 species
UAAGACUUAAGUUAACCAAACUCUUUGCCUUCAAAGCAUUCAAUAGGUGAUAGUAACACCUAGUCUUAU